AAGUCGUAACAAGGUUUCCGUAGGUGACCCUGCGGAAGGAUCAUUUACACGUAUCCAAACGUAAAAAAUCCCCCCCGUGAACAUUCAAUCCUGCUCUUGUAACCCGCGUAGUUCGCAAUCUCUGGUAAAUCAUAGCCCCGAAAGUAGUUUUGAUUCAGAGACCUCUGGCUACGUGAGGACAUUGGAACAGUUACAAUCGAGCGGUAGUUUUAGGCAUUGUUUCCCCAAGCAGUUAGUGUCUGAAAGUGUCACUGAUAGACCGUACACUCGGGCAGGAGCUAUGCCAAAGGGUCCCCAUGCCCCCUUAACAAUGGAUAUCUUGGUUCUC
rnacentral:misc_RNA from 1 species